AUUGAACGCUGGCGGCAUGCCUUACACAUGCAAGUCGAACGGUAACAGGUCUUCGGAUGCUGACGAGUGGCGAACGGGUGAGUAAUACAUCGGAACGUGCCCGAUCGUGGGGGAUAACGAAGCGAAAGCUUUGCUAAUACCGCAUACGAUCUACGGAUGAAAGCAGGGGACCGCAAGGCCUUGCGCGAACGGAGCGGCCGAUGGCAGAUUAGGUAGUUGGUGGGAUAAAAGCUUACCAAGCCGACGAUCUGUAGCUGGUCUGAGAGGACGACCAGCCACACUGGGACUGAGACACGGACUAGACUCCUACGGGAGGCAGCAGUGGGGAAUUUUGGACAAUGGGCGAAAGCCUGAUCCAGCCAUGCCGCGUGCAGGAUGAAGGCCUUCGGGUUGUAAACUGCUUUUGUACGGAACGAAAAGACUCUGGUUAAUACCUGGGGUCCAUGACGGUACCGUAAGAAUAAGCACCGGCUAACUACGUGCCAGCCGCCACCGUAA
rnacentral:rRNA from 1 species